rnacentral:rRNA from 1 species
GCUGCAGUGAGGAAUAUUGGACAAUGGGCGGGAGCCUGAUCCAGCCAUGCCGCGUGCAGGAAGACGGCCCUAUGGGUUGUAAACUGCUUUUAUACGGGAAGAAACACUCCCUCGUGAGGGAGCUUGACGGUACCGUAAGAAUAAGGAUCGGCUAACUCCGUGCCAGCAGCCGCGGUAAUACGGAGGAUCCAAGCGUUAUCCGGAAUCAUUGGGUUUAAAGGGUCCGUAGGCGGGACAAUAAGUCAGCGAUGAAAGUCUGUGGCUCAACCAUAGAAUUGCCAUUGAUACUGUUGUUCUUGAGUGUUUAUGAAGUGGUUGGAAUAUGUAGUGUAGCGGUGAAAUGCAUAGAUAUUACAUAGAACACCGAUUGCGAAGGCAGAUCACUAAUAAAAUACUGACGCUGAUGGACGAAAGCGUAGGUAGCGAACAGGAUUAGAUACCCUGGUAGUCUACGCCGUAAACGAUGGUUACUAGCUGUUCGGUCGUAAGACUGAGUGGCUAAGCGAAAGUGAUAAGUAACCCACCUGGGGAGUACGUUCGCA